rnacentral:rRNA from 1 species
AGAGUUUGAUCCUGGCUCAGGAUGAACGCUAGCUACAGGCUUAACACAUGCAAGUCGAGGGGAAACGAUAGAGAAAGCUUGCUUUUUCUAGGCGUCGACCGGCGCACGGGUGAGUAACGCGUAUCCAACCUGCCCACCACUUGGGGAUAACCUUGCGAAAGUAAGACUAAUACCCAAUGACGUCUCUAGAAGGCAUCUGAAAGGGACUAAAGAUUUAUCGGUGAUGGAUGGGGAUGCGUCUGAUUAGCUUGUUGGCGGGGUAACGGCCCACCAAGGCUACGAUCAGUAGGGGUUCUGAGAGGAAGGUCCCCCACAUUGGAACUGAGACACGGUCCAAACUCCUACGGGAGGCAGCAGUGAGGAAUAUUGGUCAAUGGACGAGAGUCUGAACCAGCCAAGUAGCGUGCAGGAUGACGGCCCUAUGGGUUGUAAACUGCUUUUAUAAGGGAAUAAAGUGAGCCUCGUGAGGCUUUUUGCAUGUACCUUAUGAGUAAGGACCGGCUAAUUCCGUGCCAGCAGCCGCGGUAAUACGGAAGGUCCGGGCGUUAUCCGGAUUUAUUGGGUUUAAAGGGAGCGUAGGCCGGAGAUUAAGCGUGUUGUGAAAUGUAGGUGCUCAACAUCUGCACUGCAGCGCGAACUGGUUUCCUUGAGUACGCACAAAGUGGGCGGGAUUCGUGGUGUAGCGGUGAAAUGCUUAGAUAUCACGAAGAGCUCCAAUUGCGAAGGCAGCUCACUGGAGCGCAACUGACGCUGAAGCUCGAAAGUGCGGGUAUCGAACAGGAUUAGAUACCCUGGUAGUCCGCACGGUAAACGAUGGAUGCCCGCUGUUGGUCUGAAUAGGUCAGCGGCCAAGCGAAAGCAUUAAGCA